rfam:Canis lupus familiaris chromosome 4, whole genome shotgun sequence.
GUACUCACAUCAGCAGCAAAUACACUAAAACUGGAACAACACAGAGAAGAUUAGGAUGGCCCCUGUUGAGGGAUGACAUGCAAAUUCAUGAAUCAUGCCAUAUUUUU